GACGAACGCUGGCGGCGUGCUUAACACAUGCAAGUCGAACGAUGAACCGGUUUCGGCCGGGGAUUAGUGGCGAACGGGUGAGUAACACGUGGGCAAUCUGCCCUGCACUCUGGGAUAAGCCCGGGAAACUGGGUCUAAUACCGGAUACGACACAUGAGCGCAUGCUCGUGUGUGGAAAGUUCCGGCGGUGCAGGAUGAGCCCGCGGCCUAUCAGUUUGUUGGUGGGGUAGUGGCCUACCAAGACGACGACGGGUAGCCGGCCUGAGAGGGUGACCGGCCACACUGGGACUGAGACACGGCCCAGACUCCUACGGGAGGCAGCAGUGGGGAAUAUUGCACAAUGGGCGAAAGCCUGAUGCAGCGACGCCGCGUGAGGGAUGACGGCCUUCGGGUUGUAAACCUCUUUCAGCAGGGAAGAAGCGCAAGUGACGGUACCUGCAGAAGAAGCACCGGCUAACUACGUGCCAGCCGCCGCCGUAACAC
rnacentral:rRNA from 1 species